rnacentral:rRNA from 1 species
GACGAACCGUGCGAACGUUGUUCGGAAUCACUGGGCUUAAAGGGCGCGUAGGCGGCCCGCCAAGUCAGGGGUGAAAUCCUCCAGCUCAACUGGAGAAGUGCCUUUGAUACUGGUGAGCUCGAGCGAGGUAGGGGCGGGUGGAACUUCCGGUGGAGCGGUGAAAUGCGUUGAUAUCGGAAGGAACGCCGGUGGCGAAAGCGACCCGCUGGACCUCUUCUGACGCUGAGGCGCGAAAGCUAGGGUAGCGAACGGG